rnacentral:rRNA from 1 species
CCUACGGGAGGCUGCAGUGGGGAAUAUUGCACAAUGGGGGAAACCCUGAUGCAGCGACGCCGCGUGAGUGAAGAAGUAUUUCGGUAUGUAAAGCUCUAUUUGCAGGGCAGAAGAAAGACGGUACCUGACUAAGAAGACCCGGCUAACUACGUGCCAGUCGCCGCGGUAAUACGUAGGGGGCACGCGGUAUCAGGAUUUACUGGGUGUAAAGGGAGCGUAGGCGGCUGUGCAAGUCUGAGGUGAAAGCCCAGGGCUCAACCCUGGGACUGCCUUGGAAACUGGUGAGCUAGAGUGCUGGAGAGGUAAGUGGAAUUCCUAGUGUAGCGGUGAAAUGCGUAGAUAUUAGGAAGAACACCAGUUGCGAAGGCGGCUUACUGGACAGUAACUGACGUUGAGGCUCGAAAGCGUGGGGAGCAAACAGGAUUAGAUACCCGUGUAGUC